GCCUCCCAGCCCUGAUUGCCUGAUGCGCACAACCUGCCGCCGCGCGCCCAGGUGAAGCCGCCCGGACCCGUCGCCGCCGCCGCCGCCGCCCCCUUUAAUGGUGAAUAUUUGGAUUUUCUUCUUGGGUGCUUGAGAAUCUCUGGGAAGAGCUGAAAGAGAUGGAAGCGUCAAAGAAGGAGUUUAAGGAAUCAACCAGAGCCUUUGUUUUGGAACGUGACUUACAGGAAAACAAAUUCCAUCAGCACCAACUCUACGGUCUGGAUUUAUUGUGGACUUUGGGCUGCGGAAACUGCCUGAUACCAUCUUACAGUGAGGCUUUUAAAAAUGUUGACACACUGCAACUAGUUACCUGAUCAAUGAACUGAGGCUGUUAUUCCUAGAAUUUCUGUUAUGGACUGUAAAGUUGCAGCAGUAGCAGAUUUGAUUUACUAUUUACUGAAGUUAUGAAAGAAAAUAAAAAAUGAAAGGACAGGAUGGACCUUUGGGAAUACAAGCAAUGUUUUUGAAAUCUUAGUAGGGUUGAUGUUCCUGACCCCUUUUGCUUUAAACAUUCUGUGCCAUCCUUUUCCAAAUGAGUUCCUGAAGCAUGAGGAUUAGUGACUCACAUAAACAUCAUCUAAAGUCAAUGAGAUUUUUUGCUUCUGUCCCACUCUCACCCUGCUGGAAAAACCAGUUUUCAUCGCAUGUUCUGUGAUUGACACAAGAAGCACUAUUUUGAAAGUCUCCAGAACCUUGGGAGAAAUAAUGUAUCAAGGAAAUAAGUCAGGUGAUGUCCAUAGCAUACAACUAACCUGGCAGAGAAAAGCCUUGUGGAUAUGAAGAAAAAAAAUGCCUGAUGUAUUGCAUUCUACUUGGUUGUUACCUGCAAAAAUUAGUCAUUCCCAUGCUUGCAACAGAUAUGUAUUUGGACAUGUGGAUUUUUCUUAUGCCAGUGGGCAUCUGAACAGACAGAACAAUAAAAACCUACCCUCACUUACCCCAUGUAAAGUA